rnacentral:rRNA from 1 species
GAUGAACGCUGGCGGCGUGCUUAACACAUGCAAGUCGAACGGUGAAGCAGGAGCUUGCUCUUGUGGAUCAGUGGCGAACGGGUGAGUAACACGUGAGCAACCUGCCCCUGACUCUGGGAUAAGCGCUGGAAACGGCGUCUAAUACUGGAUAUGUGAUGUGACCGCAUGGUCUGCAUCUGGAAAGAAUUUCGGUUGGGGAUGGGCUCGCGGCAUAUCAGCUUGUUGGUGAGGUAAUGGCUCACCAAGGCGUCGACGGGUAGCCGGCCUGAGAGGGUGACCGGCCACACUGGGCCUGAGACAAGGCCCAGACUCCUACGGGAGGCAGCAGUGGGGAAUAUUGCACAAUGGGCGGAAGCCUGAUGCAGCAACGCCGCGUGAGGGAUGACGGCCUUCGGGUUGUAAACCUCUUUUAGCAGGGAAGAAGCGAAAGUGACGGUACCUGCAGAAAAAGCACCGGCUAACUACGUGCCAGCCGCCGCCGUAA